CUAUUUCCAGCUCUGUCAAUCCUGCAUCCUGGAUGGACUGUAUCAUGUUGUGUUCUGUGCCUUUUGGAGGUAACUACAGAACAGUGUGAUCAAACUAUUCUUAACUUCUUCCUGUAAUGGGGCCUAGAAACAGAUGGUGAAGAGUGAUGUUAUGGAAGAAACAGCUGGAUAAAGAACAUAAGAUGCAGAAGUUCUUUUGCCGGUUAGAAGUCUUCUAGUCAGUGGAUGAAUCAGUUAAAAGAACAGCCACAGCAGGCCUUAUUUGACAUAGCUGCUGAUUACAGCAGUAGAAAAUAAAACCUGAAUGAGCAUGGAGUGUUUAGCUGCUCUAUCAGUCCAAGAUGAGAAGCCUAACCAUAUAGAGAAGGUAGAACUGGAAGGUGAAAACCAGGGGACACGAGACAUUACAGCUUGCAUGCUACAGACACGAGGAGACAUCUUAUCUGAUGGAAAGGAAUUUCAGGCUGUGUGGUAAAAACAUACAACAGUUAGUCAGGAAUCAUGCUAUUUACUUUCUAAUUAUGGUUCCUCCAACUACUAGCUGCAUAUACAUAGAACAACAUUUAACUCCAGAAUUAAAAGGCACUCAAAGUUCUAGGCUGAUACACAAGACUGUGUGAAUAUACCAGGGGUGGAACAGCUUCUGAUAUGUAUGAUUGUUUUAAUGGUAGAAUGUCAGUGGGGAAUAGUGCUGAUUUUCAAGGGAAGAUGUGUACUUCCUUGGUGAGGCACUAUUGAACAGAUAAGUAUUACCUGAACAAAGACCAAAGGGGAGGCUGAACAGAUUCAGGUUCAGUCCAGAAGUAGAUCAGCCAGUGCAGCUGGGUCUCUGGAGUGGGAGACAGGAGGCAGCGGGAGUAGGGGCAAGGAGAAAUGAGAUGGCAGUGCUGACACCAAAGGAGGAGGUGAGAGGGAACUAGAUGCACUAGUUUUCAUCUCUUACUCUGAUAAAGUCUUCAAAAAAAAAGUUAGGGUUGGCUAUGCUGUAUUGAGUUGUGUGGGUGGGUGUGCUUUCAGGGAAUACAGGCAAUUGGAUAAAUUGUCUCUCAUAGGAUGGAAAUGAUCUGCUGUUACUUGUAUUCUCUGCUUGUUUCAUUGUGUGCAAAUAGUGUGCUGUGACUGGAUAUACUUCUUUAAUGUGCCUAAAGAAAAGUGGUUCUGUACUUCUGUAGAAAUGGGAAGACAUUACUAUCACUGUACUUUCCCGUUGCAUGAAAAUGAAACAAGUAAUACUUAGGAUCUGAUUAUUUUCAUGUAAAGAAAUUGACUAUA